AACGAACGCUGGCGGCAUGCCUAACACAUGCAAGUCGAACGAGAUCUUCGGGUCUAGUGGCGCACGGGUGCGUAACGCGUGGGAAUCUGCCCUUUGGUUCGGAAUAACAGUUGGAAACGACUGCUAAGACCGGCUGAUGACGAAAGUCCAAAGAUUUAUCGCCAGAGGAUGAGCCCGCGUAGGAUUAGCUAGUUGGUGUGGUAAAGGCGCACCAAGGCGACGGUCCUUAGCUGGUCUGAGAGGAUGAUCAGCCACACUGGGACUGAGACACGGCCCAGACUCCUACGGGAGGCAGCAGUGGGGAAUAUUGGACAAUGGGCGAAAGCCUGAUCCAGCAAUGCCGCGUGAGUGAUGAAGGCCUUAGGGUUGUAAAGCUCUUUUACCCGGGAUGAUAAUGACAGUACCGGGAGAAUAAGCUCCGGCUAACUCCGUGCCAGCAGCCGCCGUAA
rnacentral:rRNA from 1 species